rnacentral:rRNA from 1 species
UACGUAGGGGGCGAGCGUUGUCCGAAUUCACUGGGCGUAAAGCGCGAGUAGGCGGACUUUUAAGUUGGGUGUGAAAUGCCGAGGCUCAACCUCGGAACUGCCUCCAAAACUGGGAGUCUUGAGGUAUGGAGAGGGAAGUGGAAUUCCAGGUGUAGCGGUGAUAUGCGUAGAUAUCUGGAGGAACACCCGUGGCGAAGGCGGCUUCCUGGUCAUAUCCUGACGCUGAGGUGCGAAAGCCAGGGGAGCGAACGGG